rnacentral:rRNA from 1 species
UGGGGAAUUUUGGACAAUGGGCGAAAGCCUGAUCCAGCAAUGCCGCGUGUGUGAAGAAGGCCUUCGGGUUGUAAAGCACUUUUGUCCGGAAAGAAAUCCUUGGCUCUAAUACAGUCGGGGGAUGACGGUACCGGAAGAAUAAGCACCGGCUAACUACGUGCCAGCAGCCGCGGUAAUACGUAGGGUGCAAGCGUUAAUCGGAAUUACUGGGCGUAAAGCGUGCGCAGGCGGUUUGCUAAGACCGAUGUGAAAUCCCCGGGCUCAACCUGGGAACUGCAUUGGUGACUGGCAGGCUAGAGUAUGGCAGAGGGGGGUAGAAUUCCACGUGUAGCAGUGAAAUGCGUAGAGAUGUGGAGGAAUACCGAUGGCGAAGGCAGCCCCCUGGGCCAAUACUGACGCUCAUGCACGAAAGCGUGGGGAGCAAACAGGAUUAGAUACCCUGGUAGUCCACGCCCUAAACGAUGUCAACUAGUUGUUGGGGAUUCAUUUCCUUAGUAACGUAGCUAACGCGUGAAGUUGACCGCCUGGGGGAGUACGGUCGCAAGAUUAAAACUCAAA